AACGCACAUUGCGCCCUUUGGUAUUCCGAAGGGCAUGCCUGUUCGAGCGUCAUUAUCAACCAUCAAGCUCUGCUUGGCAUUGGGCGACCGCCCCCCUAAGACGGGGACGCGCUCUAAAGGAUUCGGCGGUGGCAUGGAGCCUCAAGCGUAGUAAAUUUUAUCAAGCUUACGAGGUCUUUGUGUUGCCUGCCCCUAAAACCCCAUCACCUCAAGGUUGACCUCGGAUCAGGUAGGGAUACCCGCUGAACUUAA
rnacentral:misc_RNA from 2 species